CAAAACAAAGCUUGAAAGUAAAGCGUCUCGUUUACGUUGAGAAGAGUUACUGUGCAAAUCAGUUUGUUUUGA
rnacentral:tRNA from 1 species